AUUGAACGCUGGCGGCGUGCUUAACACAUGCAAGUCGAUCGGUAACGCGGGGGCAACCCUGGCGACGAGAGGCGGACGGGUGAGGAACGCUUGGGAAUCUGCCUAUCAGCGGGGGACAACACGGGGAAACUCGUGCUAAUACCGCAUACGCUCUACGGAGGAAAGCCGGGGACCGCAAGGCCUGGCACUGAUAGAUGAGCCCAAGUCGGAUUAGCUAGUUGGCGGGGUAACAGCCCACCAAGGCGACGAUCCGUAGCUGGUCUGAGAGGACGAGAAGCCACAAUGGGACUGAGACACGGUCCAGACUCCUACGGGAGGCAGCAGUGGGGAAUAUUGGACAAUGGGGGAAACCCAGAUCCAGCGACGCCGCGUGGGUGAAGAAGGCCUGCGGGUUGUAAAGCCCUUUCGGUAGGGACGAAAGCUCUCGACCUAACACGUCGGGAGGUUGACUUAACCUACAAAAGAAGCACCGGCUAACUCUGUGCCAGCCGCCGCGGUAACAC
rnacentral:rRNA from 1 species